rnacentral:rRNA from 1 species
CCUACGGGAGGCAGCAGUAGGGAAUAUUGCUCAAUGGGGGAAACCCUGAAGCAGCAACGCCGCGUGGAGGAUGAAGGCCUUCGGAUUGUAAACUCCUUUUGUUAGAGAAGAUAAUGACGGUAUCUAACGAAUAAGCACCGGCUAACUCCGUGCCAGCAGCCGCGGUAAUACGGAGGAUGCGAGCGUUAUCCGGAUUUAUUGGGUUUAAAGGGUGCGCAGGCGGAUUUUUAAGUCAGCGGGCAAAUCGUGGGGCUCAACCCCAUCCAGCCGUUGAAACUGGGUGUCUAGAGUGUGCGAGAGGUGUGCGGAAUGCGUGGUGUAGCGGUGAAAUGCAUAGAGAUCACGCAGAACCCCGAUGGCGAAGGCAGCAUACCGGUGGACAACUGACGCUCAGGCACGAAAGCGUGGGUAUCGAACAGGAUUAGAUACCCGGGUAGUC